rnacentral:lncRNA from 1 species
AAGAGGUUGUGGAGAAAAAGGAGAGAGAGGAUAGAAGAGACAGAGAGUAAGUAGAGAUAAAAUAGAGAUAUUUUGGUCAGUUGUUAAAAAAUUCGUUCUGACCCUGUAAAAACAAAAAAAAAUAACCCACUUUCGAAAAAUUCUAAUAAUAUUUUAUAUAAAUAAUUUAGAUUAUUAUACUACAAAGAAAUUUUUAUUUCC